rnacentral:rRNA from 1 species
AUAACGACUCUCGGCAACGGAUAUCUCGGCUCUCGCAUCGAUGAAGAACGUAACGAAAUGCGAUACUUGGUGUGAAUUGCAGAAUCCCGCGAAUCAUCGAGUCUUUGAACGCAAGUUGCGCCCUAGCCAUCCGGCUGAGGGCACGUCUGCCUGGGUGUCACGC